rnacentral:rRNA from 1 species
AGAGUUUGAUCAUGGCUCAGGACGAACGCUGGCGGCGUGCCUAACACAUGCAAGUCGAACGGGGUGAGGCCCUUCGGGACCUUUACCUAGUGGCGAACGGGUGAGUAACGCGUGAGGAACCUGCCUUUCAGUGGGGGACAACAGUUGGAAACGACUGCUAAUACCGCAUGAAGCUUUUGGGAGACAUCUCCUGGAAGCCAAAGCUUAAUGUGCUGAAAGAUGGCCUCGCGUCUGAUUAGCUAGUUGGUGGGGUAACGGCCCACCAAGGCGACGAUCAGUAGCCGGUCUGAGAGGAUGAACGGCCACAUUGGGACUGAGAUACGGCCCAGACUCCUACGGGAGGCAGCAGUGGGGAAUAUUGGGCAAUGGGCGAAAGCCUGACCCAGCAACGCCGCGUGAAGGAAGAAGGCCUUCGGGUUGUAAACUUCUUUUACCAGGGACGAAGGACGUGACGGUACCUGGAGAAGAAGCAACGGCUAACUACGUGCCAGCAGCCGCGGUAAUACGUAGGUUGCAAGCGUUGUCCGGAUUUACUGGGUGUAAAGGGCGUGUAGGCGGAGAUGCAAGUUAGGAGUGAAAUCUAUGGGCUCAACCCAUAAACUGCUUCUAAAACUGUAUCCCUUGAGUAUCGGAGAGGCAAGCGGAAUUCCUAGUGUAGCGGUGAAAUGCGUGGAUAUUAGGAGGAACACCAGUGGCGAAGGCGGCUUGCUGGACGACAACUGACGCUGAGGCGCGAAAGCGUGGGGAGCAAACAGGAUUAGAUACCCUGGUAGUCCACGCUGUAAACGAUGAAUACUAGGUGUGGGGGGACUGACCCCCUCCGUGCCGCAGUUAACACAAUAAGUAUUCCACCUGGGGAGUACGACCGCAAGGUUGAAACUCAAAGGAAUUGACGGGGGCCCGCACAAGCAGUGGAUUAUGUGGUUUAAUUCGACGCAACGCGAAGAACCUUACCAGGACUUGACAUCCAACUAACGAAGUAGAGAUACAUCAGGUGCCCUUCGGGGAAAGUUGAGACAGGUGGUGCAUGGUUGUCGUCAGCUCGUGUCGUGAGAUGUUGGGUUAAGUCCCGCAACGAGCGCAACCCCUAUUGUUAGUUGCUACGAAAGAGCACUCUAGCGAGACUGCCGUUGACAAAACGGAGGAAGGCGGGGACGACGUCAAAUCAUCAUGCCCCUUAUGUCCUGGGCUACACACGUAAUACAAUGGUGGCCAACAGAGGGAAGCGAAGCCGUGAGGCAGAGCAAAUCCCUAAAAGCCAUCUCAGUUCGGAUUGCAGGCUGCAACUCGCCUGCAUGAAGCUGGAAUUGCUAGUAAUCGCGGAUCAGCAUGCCGCGGUGAAUACGUUCCCGGGCCUUGUACACACCGCCCGUCACACCAUGAGAGUCGGGAACACCCGAAGUCCGUAGUCUAACCGCAAGGGGGGCGCGGCCGAAGGUGGGUCCGGUAAUUGGGGUGAAGUCGUAACAAGGUA